AUAAUGCCCACGCUUUUUGGUAUUAGGCCUUUGCCUAAUUAAAAGGGAAGUUGGUACGAUUUAAUCAAACCCAACGCUGCCCCCGCAACGGUAUAUAAGUAACAUGUAUCAACAGCCACUGUGUCAAAACAUGGGAAGGCGAUACAUCGGUUAACAGAACAUUAGCCACUUAUGAGCCCGGAGACCUGCCAAAGGCAAACCGGUACGU
rnacentral:ncRNA from 15 species